GCGGAAGUGGCUCAGUGGUAGAGCAUCACCUUGCCAAGGUGAGGGUCGCGGGUUCGAAUCCCGUCUUCCGCUCCG
rnacentral:tRNA from 8 species